rnacentral:rRNA from 1 species
UAGGGAAUCUUCGGCAAUGGACGAAAGUCUGACCGAGCAACGCCGCGUGAGUGAAGAAGGUUUUCGGAUCGUAAAACUCUGUUGUUAGAGAAGAACAAGGACGUUAGUAACUGAACGUCCCCUGACGGUAUCUAACCAGAAAGCCACGGCUAACUACGUGCCAGCAGCCGCGGUAAGACGUAGGUGGCAAGCGUUGUCCGGAUUUAUUGGGCGUAAAGCGAGCGCAGGCGGUUUCUUAAGUCUGACGUGAAAGCCCCCGGCUCAACCGGGGAGGGUCAUUGGAAACUGGGAGACUUGAGUGCAGAAGAGGAGAGUGGAAUUCCAUGUGUAGCGGUGAAAUGCGUAGAUAUAUGGAGGAACACCAGUGGCGAAGGCGGCUCUCUGGUCUGUAACUGACGCUGAGGCUCGAAAGCGUGGGGAGCAAACAGG